AUUUUGGUUCAAAUGCUUUAUGCCCCUCCAUUCUAGCAUUGUUUUAAUGUUGAACAAACAUAAUCAUUGAUGUGGUAUGCUUUGAAUUGUUUUGGCCACCAUUUAAGUGUAAUAACUUAUGCUUAAUUUUUUAAUUGGGAAUAACUUAUGUUUAAUGUCUACUUAACUUCUAAGAACUAUUUCAAGGCAAAGCAAAAGGGUUUAAUGUGGAGAUGGCUUUAUUGGCAAAGUCUGUUCAUGAUUUUGAAAAAGCAAUAUCUAUGGUAUCUUAGCACAAGAGACGUGGUUGGGAAUGUGAAGAUUCCUGUUCUCUUUAUAUAGGUCAAACUUAUCUAACUUUAAUACCAUCAUGCUUUAAUUUUUGUUCAGGAUUAGAUUAGUCAUGUCCUACAUUUGUUUACUGUUUAUAAAUCUUCUUGUAAAUACUCUGUUUAUUUCAAUCAUUCUUGACCUUUUUUGGUUUAAAAAAAAUCAGUUAAAAGAGAUGGUUUAUUAAAACUUAUUUUGGAGCUGUGCUAAAAUUUCCCAUGAUAACAAUAAUAUGCAAGAAACCCCCAAAUCAAAAACCAUAGCCCCUUCCUAUCAAAAAAGAAAAAAAGAAGAAGAAGAAGAAGGAAAACCAUAGCUUCUCAUCCAUUUCUCUCUCCAGUCUCUAUGCUUUGCCUUUAGUGCACCUUCUCCUUUGUCUCUGCUCCUAAUGAUGAAUUGGGAUUGAAGGGAGCAAAAUCAAGAUGCCAUGGACGUCCUCUUUUGAUUCAAAUUCGUAAAAGCUUCCUUACUCUCUUUCUCUCUCCAUGUGGCGUGAGGUCAAAUAUUUGCUUUCUUUGUUCUAAAUAACAAUUUAUAGAACUCAAUGUUUUAUGUUAAAUAAAUAUAUGAUGUACUCUUCUAUAUAAUGCAGAUUUUUUGUAUUAUGUUCUUUCUCUACUCUUUUUGAGUCAUAGCAAAAGAAUUUGACAUUAGUAACUAUAUUCUAUUUAUUUAUUAUGAAAAUAAGAUUGUGAUCAUUA